ACUCCUCAGCUUUCUCCGGUCAGGAAGCCAGUGGCUACUCCCGCUACAGAACCACUGCGCCCAUGAGAAUUGGACUCGGCAGGUAGCAAAGUGCUCCUCUUUUGAAAUUAACAGCUGGAGGAAGCUCAUCGGAUUCUAAAGCACUGUGGAGAGGCUCAUCACUGGCUCUGCCCUUCAUCCUCUCACCUGAGCAGAUGACAGAGGCCACCUGUCCUUCGGAACACGUCGGCGCACCCAGAGCAGUCAUGAGGCAAUCUCCUAUAUGUUCCUCAGUUCCAGUGCAGUGGAACAUGUGACUCCAGACCUGACCAGCUCCUUUCCCAAAAUGUGCUCCUUCUGGAAUAGAUUGGGCAACCCCACACUUCAGCUGCUGACAUAAGACAUGAGCAUCUUCCAUGUCCCAAUGAGAACUGCAGAGGGGACCCCAGGCUCCGAGUGUCUUGAGCUCCACUCUUCCCUCACAGGAGGACUCGCCGCCUGCCAGACGAAUAUCUAUGUAUCCUAAAAGGAGACCGGGAUUUAGAAAAGACAUCCGUGACUCUCUAACCCUCUUUCAGAGCCUAGGAGCAAAUUGAAAAUAUUUUCUUUGUCUUACGUGAGCAGACUACGCUGACAUCCCUGCUGUGGGUACAAGUUCUGUCUAGCGGGGGCGCCACUGAGCAUAGUGAAAGAUGGGACUCAUCCCCACUACACUGGAAUUCUUCACCCCAGAUCUGUCCACUUCCUUCUCCAAAAUGUGCUCCCCCUAGGAUAGAGACGACUGUUCCACAUUGUAAUUCCCUGCACACCACACUGGCAGCUUCCAGAGACAAGUCAAAAUCACAGACGGAGCCCCACACGUCUCCGUGUUUCACUUCCACACGACCAGAGCAUGGGAUUUCUCCUCCAACCAGUCUGGGUUCCCUGUGGCCUGAAAAAUAAUAAUAUUUCCGUGAGAGGUACAAUUUCCACAUUUUUCACUCAUGGUGGGACUAGGAGCCAGGGUUCUCUGCAGUUUCACCCUGUACCUCCUGGAUUUUCUGUCUAGACUGAGCAUAGAAAAUUGUGGCUCUAGAACCUUUCAUUGGGCUUGUCCUUCUAAGAAAAUUCUAGCGCUUUGGAUUUUGAAGAAAAGCAAGAUCAGAACUUCUCUUUUCUUUUAGUACUUCACUUGCAUUUAUUCAUACAACACAAUUUGUUCACAGUUUGGGCUCUGUCAGCCAGCUCGGCACUUGUUCCAGUCUGAAGUCUACAGUAGCUUUAUCAACAUCUGCAUAUAGGUUUACAACAUAGUUUUGUUCAGAGCAUUGAAUGAACAUCAGACUUUAAAAAGUGGAACACCUGAUGUCUGUGACUCUCCAGUCCUCUUCCCAUUCCUUUCUGACAGGGCUUUAUCACAGUGGUUCAUAGACAAACAGGCCUGUCUGCAUGCUCUGCUCUGCCUUGCCAGCUCCACACUGUAUUCUGUGCCCCAUCUGAUCUGUCAGUAGGAAGGGCAGAGCAACAUUGGGCUCCUAGAUCUUGUGCCUCCAUGACAGAGAGAGAGAGAGAGAGAGAGAGAGAGAGAGAGAGAGAGAGAGAGAGAGAGAGAGAGAGAGAGAAUGUCACUUAGUGUAGCUGGGCUUUAAGAUGUAAACAAAAGUGAUGCCAGAUAAUAAGAAAUGGAACUCAGAUUGGAAUAUGCUCUCUACCAGGCUGGGAUGUGCUCCCUGUCAGGCUGGGAUGUGCUCCCUGUCAGGCUGGGAUGUGCUCCCUGUCAGGCUGGGAUGUGCUCCCUGUCAGGCUGGGAUGUGCUCCUUGUCAGGCUGGGAUGUGCUCCCUGUCAGGCUGGGAUGUGCUCCUUGUCAGGCUGGGAUGUGCUCCCUGUCAGGCUGGGAUGUGCUCCCUGUCAGGCUGGGAUGUGCUCCCUGUCAGGCUGGGAUGUGCUCCCUGUGUUCCUUGUCAGGCUGGGAUGUGCUCCCUGUCAGGCUGGAAUGUGCUCCCUGUCAGGCUGGGAUGUGUUUCUUGUCAGUCAGACCAAGACCAAGAGGCUUAAUCAUCAAGACAAGCAGGGCUUCCUUUAAUACCAGAAACCACUGAGAGUCUUGAAAACACGAACUACUUCAAAUUCACAUAUUUUUAAAAACAGAAGUUCAUCUGAGGUUGGACCUAAAGAGCAAACAUCCUUCACAGAUGCCUGUACAAACCUUUGAUGCCACCCUCACUGUGGUACAGAUGGACAGACAGACACCCCUUCAGUCCUUGCAGUGUUCAUACUCUGUCUACACUUCAGACCAUGCAUCUUUUACCUUACAUUAAAAUAUCUCUGAGCCGGGUGUGGUGGCACAUGCCUUUAAUCCCAGCACUCGGGAGGCAGAGGCAGGUGAAUUUCUGAGUUCUAGGCCAGCCUGGUCUACAGAGUGAGUUCCAGGACAGCCAGGGCUACACAGAGAAACCCUGUCUUGAAAAACCGAAAAAAAAAAUCUCUGAAAAUGUUUGAGAUAUGGCUACUUCUGCAUUAGAAACAAAAUAGAAUGUUUCAGCAUGAGGGACUUUUACCAUUAAAGUGAAUUCCUAUCUAAAUAUGAGAUGAAGAACCCAUGAUUUCUAAAUGCAGACCAAGUUGAGAGAAAACAAUGAUAUACACAAAUAAUUGAUGAUUGUUGAACUGGAAAGUCCUUAGCUUGAAUUGGGUGAGCAUAAAAUCCCCUAAGAUGUUACAGGAUAGUAUGUAUACAGUCCUCUUGGACAGCCCUUCCCCCAUUAAUUAAUUAAUUAAUCAAUUAAUUAAUUAACUUUAUAUCCAAAUUGCAUUCCUCCUCUCCUCAUAUCCCCCCCCCCCACAUUGCCCCUCCCCUACCUCUCUUCCCCUUCUCCUCUGAGAAGGGGGAGCAGCCUCCUGGUUACCUAUGACACAUCAAGCCACUGCAAGACAAGGCACAUUCUCUCCCACUGAGGCCACACAAGGCAACCCAGUUAGGAGAACAGGAUACACAGGCAGGCAAUAGAGUCAGGGACAGCCCCCACUCCAGUUGUUUGGGGAUCCACAUGAAGACCAAACUAUAUAUCUGCUAUAUAAUUUGUGGUGCUUCUAGGUCCAGCCCAUGUAUGCUCUUUGAUUCAGUCUCUGGGAGCCCCCAAGGGACCAGGUUAGUUGACUGUUGCACUUCCUGUAGAGUCCCUAUUCCCUCUGGGUCCCUCAAUCAUUUCCUCAACUCUUCCAAAAGACUCCCUGAUCUCUGUCCAACUGUUUAGCUGUGGGUCUCUGAAUCUGUUUCAGUUAGUUCCUGGAUGAAGCCUCUCAGAGGAGAGUUCUACUAGGCUCCUGUCUGUAAAUGUCAUUAAUAGUGUCAGGAAUUGGUUCUUGCCCAUGGGAUGGGUCUCAAUUUGGGGCAGUCAUUGGUUGGCCAUUCCCUUAGUCUCUGUUCCAUCUUUGAUCUUUCACUUCUUGUAGACAGGAAACAUUUUUUCCCCUUUUUUAAAAAUUAGGUAUUUAGCUCAUUUACAUUUCCAAUGCUAUACCAAAAGUCCCCCAUACCCACCCACCCCCACUCCCCUACCUGCCCACUCCCCCUUUUUGGUCCUGGCGUUCCCCUGUUCUGGGGCAUAUAAAGUUUGCGUGUCCAAUGGGCCUCUCUUUCCAGUGAUGGCCGACUAGGCCAUCUUUUGAUACAUAUGCAGCUAGAGUCAAGAGCUCCAGGGUACUGGUUAGUUCAUAAUAUUGAUCCACCUAUAGGGUUGCAGAUCCCUUUAGCUCCUUGGGUACUUUCUCUAGCUCCUCCAUUGGGAGCCCUGUGAUCCAUCCAUUAGCUGACUGUGAGCAUCCACUUCUGUGUUUGCUAGGCCCCGGCAUAGUCUCACAAGAGACAGCUACAGGACACAUUUUGGGUUGAAAGUUUUGUGAGUGGGUUGUCAUUGGACUUAAUCUUUAAGUCAAGGUGAUUUCUGAGAUCAGGCCAAACUAGGUGUCUAGGUUUCUGGAGUAUUCACAUGUAGCCAUUCAAACAGAAUAGAAUAGAAUAGAAUAGAAUAGAAUAGAAUAGAAUAAAAUAGAAUGGAAUGGAAUGGAAUGGAAUAGAAUAGAAUAGAAUAAUAGAAUAGAAUAGAAUAGAAUAGAAUCAGAAAAAAGCAAAAACUAAACCAAUUGUGCUUUCUUUCCCAGUGAAAAUGUGUAAUGUUCUUGAAAGCGAAUUCUUUCUGUAUACAUUCUUUCUGUUCUCCAAUCCUAAAACAUUUGAAUCUAAGUCCAAAGUCUUCUAUCCAAACAGGCUACUUUGGGACUUCAUUUUUUCAGUUUUGAUUUUGUAAAUCUGUUAACAUGCAGCCACCUACACCUUUAGAAUGCUGGAGUCUUAGCUUUUUUAAGGGACUUUCUUCCCAACAAAUAAAUGACUUCAUUGAUUUUUAUAUAAGCGCCAAUAAACAGAAUUUUGUGCCUAGCUUUGAUUCUUUUGAUUAACAAGUUAAGUUUUAAUCUGCCAAAGUAACUAAAUCAACACUUAUUCUUUAUCCAAAGAACGAAGAGCAAGUGUAAGAACAAUUAAUUAGAACUUCCUCCUUUUGUUCAGUAACAAAGUAUAUGAUCUGCACAACGAAGAAUAAAUCACAUCAUUUGAAACACCUGGAUUGUCUUGUUCCUCAGCUGAGCUGAUCAUAAAGUGUAGCCAAAGCAGAAGAUGAAAUAGUUACUGCACAACAGAAGUAGCAAGCACACCAGCAAAGUAACCUGGUCUUUGCUUUCGUCUAGUCAUAGGUUUCCAAUGGCCUUACGUCUGAGAUGAGCAGCUGCCGGAAGAAGUUGACAUCAGCACCUAUCAGUGCUUGUCAAUGGGCCCUUUGACCUCAUCAUUGGAUAGCAUUCUCUUGCUAACGUGGAGAAUAGCUGUGAUCAGAUGCAACUGCUGAGCUUACAAGUGUGCACUCUGGUACCCAGGCCUUUAUGUGUGCCUAAAGUCUGAACUCAGGUUUUUAUGAGUGUGUCGUAAGUGCUUUAUCUACUGAGCCAUCUCUCCAGAACCCCAGUACAUUGUUAGUUGAAGAAUAAUUUUUCACGGUCUGUCAGUAUGUCACAUAUGCAUAAUACAGAUGCAUAAUGAUAUGUGUCAAGUAUAUUACCGUUUUCAGAGAAAUUGUGCAAUCAGAUUUAUUUUAAAAAUAAACCCCAGGAGGUGGAGAGAUGACUCCAUGGAGCACUGGUUGCACUUCCAGAGGUCCUGAGUUCUUAGCAACUGAAUGGUGGCUCAUAACCAUUUAUAAUGAGAUUUAGUGUCCUCUUAUAGUGUGCAGGCAUACAUAUAGGCAGAAUACUGUAUAUAUACUAAAUAAAUAGAUCUUUAAAAAAUUCAAAGGAAGAGGUUAAAAAAAUUCCAAUUCUGUCAUUAGUAUAAGCAAUGCGCCUGAAUAUUCUGAUUCAUAAGGUUGGAGCAAGAGCAUAAAAAGUUCACCAUGAGCACAGUAUCUGUAGUACCCUUGGAAUUAAGUUGCUUCUUAACAAAUGAAUUGAAAGUAUCACCUGAGCAGGUAACUUUGGCUUCUUCGAAAUUAUCACAGGAAAGGCCGCCCCACUGCCAGUUUUUGCAUUGCCAAAAAGUAGUUUCAUUUCCAUUACAAGAUCCAGGAAAGAGCCACGUAUUUGUUGCCCCAGUUUUAGAGUAGAUCUUAGCCUGGGUUUGAAGCGCAGAUCCACAUCCAAGCUGUCUGCAAACCACAUCCGCAUCUGCCAGUGUCCAGCCUCGGCUACACAUCUUCCCAGUCAGCUUCUGAAUCUCCACCUCCACAAUGCCAGCACAGCGACUGCCUCCACCUACAAGUCUAAGUUCCAGAUCUGCUCCAUCUGCAGUGGAAACAUGAACAGAGGGAACCUGGGCAGGAUAGCUCCCCAAAGACUUUCUACUCCCUUUCUUUGCAGACACUGAGACACUGGAACCUGUGAUCUACCCAGUGCUUAUCGUUUGUUUGUUUCUUGAUAAUACUGUGGCUUGAGCCUAGUCCCCUUUAUAAGCUAAAUGACUGUAUGCCAGAUAUCUUUUUAUAAUUUUGUUUAAAAUCUUACUGAGAUGGGUCUCAGUAAGUUUCCCAGAAUGUAUUUGAAUUUGCCACCCUCUGCCCUAGUCUCUCUCCUAAGGGGCUUGGAUUAUAGGCCUAUGCCACCAUAUCUAAUUUUGGUUUACCUAUUUACUGAGGCCUUAAUAAACAAAUACUGACUACUGA